GUUAGAAACCCUGGACCCGGGAGGCGGCGGGAAGGGCCGAGGGGACCCGGGGCCACCCGGUGCGCAGAGGCAGAGGGGCCCCCAAAACCCGCAACGCGGGCCCCUCAGUCUGCGGGCCAAGCCCGGGGUUUCCCUCCAUUAAGAAGUCAGUUGGGCGUUUCUGCUGGCGUGGAGAGCGCUACCAGGUGCCCCCGGAUUUUGAUCGGGAGUCGCUUUUGCCUUUCCGUGGACAAGCCUUCCUCCGCCAGCAGAUGCCCCGGGCAGGAAGAGAAGCGGUGGGUGAGUGGAAAGGGCCUUGGUAUGGAAACGCAGAGACCGAAUUCCUUCUCAUCUGCCAGCUCCGUGGCCGUGGGCACAUUAUCUGUUUUCUUAGUCCGGCUCAUCGUUUCUUUCAAAAACCAUUUUGGACCCUUCUGGGAAGGCAAAGAAGAGAAGCAGAGUGGACUGUGAGCGGACAUAAACCACCCUGAUGGGUAUGAUUUCCAUUUUUGGCACGGGAGUCCGGAGAUUUUGUGACCCUCUCCAAGGACACACAGCAAUCCCUUGAGAGCCCCAAGACCAGAGUCCAGUUGCCAUGACAUUGCUGCCCUAUAACCACACUCUGGAGGAAGAUACCUCAUGAAGACAAAAGCACCUAAGGCCUGAGAAAGUGAGAAUGUGGCCCUGACUCACUGCCAUUGGUUUCCCCUUCCCCCAGUGGGGUUGGGGGGUACCCCCCCACUGCAUUAUGUUAUUCUUAAGUCUCUGCACCCCCAGCCCUGUUCUCAUCACUUAUGACUGCUUUCUGAACAAGAAAAGAAGUGCAGAAAUAAAUGAAUGGCCUUGCGCAAGGCUCUUGACUCUCUGAGUCUCCAUUUCUUCAUCCCGACAACAAAGUUCCAGCUUCACGGGGCUGCUGCGGGGAUCAAGUAGUGAGUGGGAAACUUUUAGAACUGUCAAGCGUGCAGCCGUUCCUGAGGUCGUGCAGAAUGUGGGUGGGAAGGGGAGGGCAGAGGUUGUUGAAGGUGGCUCCAGGUGGCUUUGAUACCUUUCUUCUGGUAAUAAAAUUACCCUUUUUAUACACACAGAGCACUGGCAGGACAGACACCAGAGUCUCACAGGGGCUGGCCCUCAGCAUUGGUUCUCUGUGGAGUGAGCAACUAAACUAGAAUAAAGCACAAGGGCCCUUGGCCCCAGAAGAACAGGCUUCUUUCAUUUUAGGACAUUAGGCUCUUUUAGCUUCUUUUCCUUUCUUUUCUUUCUUUCUUUUUCUUUUUUUUUUUUUUUUAAACCAUACUACUUAGAAGUGCGUGAAGCCCAGGUCUCUGUCUCACUUUCCCUUUGUGUUCCCGGGCCUGGCACAGAUGAGGGACAUAAUGAAUUAAGGAAUCUCCCAUCUCAGGGCCUGCGUGGCACCCAUCAGCAUCAGGGCCUCUGACCCCAGUGGGUGAGAGGAAGUGCAACCCCCCCCCGCCCCCCUGAGCGCAGGGCCUGCCGCGAAGAGAGCAGAGCUGUGAAAGGAGACUCAGUUUACCCAAGGUGGAGUCUCAAGCACGUCAACAUGGGGGCUGAGGAAGAGACGGGACAUCUCCGCGGCGACAGAGCCCAGAGGCACUUAAGAAAUCUUAGUUCUUGUCCCCUCCUCAUAAGCACUUCGGGGACAGGUUUCCUGUGUUCCAAGUAAUUUAAUUCCCAUGGCUCCCGAAAGGCUGGAGCGGUUUCCUUUUCAGAGGCUGUGGGUGCCUCUGAGAAGGAAAGUCACAGGCAGUAUCGGUCUUGCCCAUGUUUUUCAGUGCUGUGUGUCCAGCGUCUGAAAGCAUGCGGGCACACAGUAGGUGGUGACAAGCGGACGAACUGCCAUCGGCGACAGCUGGGUAACUCGCCAGUGCAGGGAACAAAACCCGCCUCCAGAUAAGAAGACCCUGCAGGCCUCCCGCACCCUGUAAUUUGGAUCUCCAGGAAUCGCCUUUGUUGUGGGCGCCCAACCUCAGGCAAAGCGAGCACCUGCUCCUCCCGCCGGUCCUCGCAGGAGGACCCCAGGCUGCUGCGCCCCGGCUGCCUCUCCGGGUCCCUGCGCUCCGCUUCUCCGGAGCUGGGGGACCGGGGGCGCCCCGGGACCCGCAGCCAGGGUCCGCCCAGCGCUUCCGAGCCGUGGUAACGCGCCUCCCCAGGUGCCCGACACCCCGCCCGGGGCCAGCAUUUUUCGCUUCCUAGGGCCGGGCCGGGGGUCUGGGGCUGCGUCAAGGGCCUCGUCAGGCACCCCCAGGCCUGCGGGGGCAGGAUCCUGAGUCACCGCCGCGCACGCCCUCUCCUCCCGGCUUCCAUCCUGGGGCCACCUCCAGCCCGCAGGGUCGGGCCCCGGCGCAGCCGGCUCUCUGCGGGUCUGCUGUGCGCCCCUCUCCCCAGCCCGAGUCACUGCGGCCGCCGCCCCCACCCCUGGCUGGCUCGGGGGAGCCUCGCUUGUCCGCCCCUCCCAUGAGAAGCCCGAGCUCUCAGCGCUCCCGGGCGGCUCCCGCGGGAGGGGGCGCGGCCGCCCCCACGGCUCCACCCUCUCGGCGGGGCCGCAGCCAUCUGGGGCCCCUGCCAGUAGCGGCCGCUCCGGGGCCCGCACGGAGCUCGCGACCCGCUUGCGCGGCGGGAGGCAGCCCCGGGCAGGGACCCCGGCCUCCUCAGCGGGCGCUCCCGGCGCUGAGAUGCCCCGAGGGGGCGGUGGCCGCGAGCCGAGCCCGGGUGGAAGCGCGUCGCAGCGGACGCGGGCGCCCCUCGCCACCUCAGUGACCCUUUGGGAGCCGGGACCGGAGCCCCGCAGGCGGCGGUGCGGGCCCGCGGGGGCGGCGAGGUCCGUGCCCCUAGCGUCCGGAGCGGGCGCAGGCUGCUGAGCCUCGGCUGGGCUCGUUGCCUCCCGCCUUUCCCCCCAGCCCCCCGCGAGCUGGCAGGAGGAAAUAGCGCGCGGCCCCUUUAAAUUUACCCAGGAGCCCUUAAAGGAGCCCCAGGGGCCCCAGACAGGAAUCCCCACCCCGGUCCAGCCCGCGCCGCCGAGCGAGCAGCCUGCCGUCCGUGCGGCCGGCCGCCCCGUGCAUGCGCCCCGCGCCCCGGGGCCCCGCGCAGCGAGCGCUCCGCGCGGGCUGCCGCCGGCCCCGCGGCCCCGCGCCCCGCCGCCCCGGGGCCCCGCUCCGCAGCGCAGCGCAUGGAGCCCGGCGGGGACCACCGGAGCCGGAGCAGCGGCGGCAGGGGCGGCCCCGGGCCAGCAGUGGCCUCGGCACGGGGCCGACGGCUGCCGCCCGCCGGAUCGAGCGGCAGCGCGGAGCCAGAGGAAGACGAAGGCGGAAAGUGCAUCGCUUGCGCCCCGGGGGCCCACACCAUCUUUUCCCACCGCGGGCAGUUUUUAAAGCGAUGGGUUCGCCCACAAAGGCAGGCACCCCUCCGGCCGGUGCAUUCUCCCUUCCCUUCUUUUCAGAAUUUUUUUUUGCCCUAAUUUGUCAGCUCUAGCGGAACCAACCAGUCCUCCUCGUUCGCUCUCAAAGGAGACUGUUGACUCAUUUCCCGGCUGCAGGGUCACGCCUUAAGACCCUUGAGGGUUUCCUCCAGGCCAGGGAGACUCUGCCCGAAUCUCCAGGCUCCCCUCCCGGUCUCUCCCCUCCCAGAAACGCCCCAUCCCCUUUUGUUUUUAAAGAACCUCGGCUCCUCCCCCUUUUUCGGCUCUUAAAGGGCCAAUCCACCUUAGACUAGCCUGGAUCCAGCGCUGGAAGGAUGCUUAGAGACCAGCCAGCUAGCCAGUGUCGUUGCAGACAAAGAAGCUCAGGCCCAGAGUGCGGACAUGACCUAUCAAAGGUCACAGAGCAAGUUACCAGUGAAGCCAGGACUUGAACCCAGGCCUAUGACUCCGAAGCCAGUGGAUUCUAUGGAUCUACUUAAAUAAAAACUAAAACAAAAAAACUUCCACAAGGGUGACAGGAGCCCUUUCUGAUCCUGUCUUUUGUUUUCCCAACCCUGUGAUUCUCCACUGGGAGAAUGACCAGAACCUGCCUGUGUGCCCAGGAGACCAUUUUUCUAAAUCAAGAGGGGUGGGAACUGUAGGGAGGGUAGGGGACUGCUCUGGGUGGGUGUCUGGCACAGGGAACACCAUUGGGUUAGUGGGGCCUCUCCAGUGCCCGCCCUUCUGACUGCUGGGCAGUGGCCGGCUCCCUGCCAGAGCAGCAAAUAAAGCCCCAGAAAGACUUAAUGGGCUUCAGUGGAUGGUGGCCACUCCCUGCCGCAGUGUCAUUAGUUGUCACUCUGGUGGCCCUCCUGCCAUCCCUUUACAGGGUCAUUGGCUCCUCCAGAAUCUGGAGAAGUUUCAGUCUCAGAAACUCCUUUCCCUGGAGAUGUUGGCAGCUUUGUCUUGGGGAUCCCUCCCAUGUGGGGGCCUAGAUUUGGGGAACUGACAAUGCCUAGCCCAUCCCCAAAAUGGGAGUCUCAGGAAGCUAUAUUUGAAGCAUUACUGGAAAAAGGGAGAAGACCUGUGGGUGGGGCCCUCCUGGCGGGGGCCCCAGGUGGGUGGGUCCCGUGUGCAGCCCUGGCUGUAGACAGAUGCCCCCUUUGUUUGUCUGGCCCCACUGCCUGCUCUGCUCCAGCUGGAACCGCCCUGGCCUGCUGCUCUCCUGGCUUUCUCCCUACGGCUCUUGUCCAGAAAGGGCACCUUACAGAGCUGGUUGGCUCCUUGGCCCUCACCUUAUUUUUUAAAAAGUCAGAGCUAUUUCCACAGUGCCCUGCGUCCUUUUGUUCUUGAUCUCCUCUUAAAGGGUCCUUGCCCUUUGUAAAGGGCUAAUGUUUUGGCUCCCACUUCUACCAUCCCUUUUAUUGCUGUUGCCGUCCCUUUCCUGCCCCGGAACACCCCCUCCCCCAGCUCCCUUUCUCAGGGCUCACCAUCAAAGCCCUCGCCUCUUUCCCUGGAAAUCAGAGAUUGAAAAACUGUCUCCCUUUCCCCUUCUUCAGGGCAAGAUCUUCAGCUGGAAGGGGGUGCCUUGGGGUCCUGGGGGAGUGCCCCCCUGCCCUCCUCCAGGGCCAGGGGACCAGCAUCUUCAGGCAGGAAAUAUUCAGACCACUGUGAGGCCCGGGCCUCGAGGCCUGGAAAGAGCCGCAUCCCUGGCCGUGACCACCGGCGCUACUACCACGACCACUGGCGGCUGGAGUACCUGAUGGACUUCAACCCUGCCCGGCACGGCAUGGUGUGCAUGGUGUGCGGCAGCUCCCUGGCCACCCUCAAGCUCAGCACCAUCAAGCGCCACAUCCGCCAAAAGCACCCCUACUCCUUGCAUUGGAGUCCCCGGGAGAAGGAAGUCAUCAGCAACAGCUGGGAUGCACACCUGGGGCUGGGGGCCUGCGGAGAGGCCGAGGGCCUGGGGGUCCAGGGGGCUGAGGAGGAGGAGGAGGAGGAAGAAGAGGAGGAGGAGGAGGGGGCCGGUGUCCCAGCUUGCCCGCCCAAGGGCCCAGGCGACGUUCCGCUGUCCCCUGGAGCUCCCUUGGAGCGGCCCGCCGAAGAAGAGGAGGACGAAGAGGACGGCCAGGAGCCUGGGGGACUCGCCUUGCCGCCGCCGCCUCCUCCCCCGCCUCCGCCCCCGCCCCGCAGCCGGGAGCAGCGGCGGAACUACCAGCCGCGGUGGCGGGGCGAGUACCUGAUGGACUACGACGGCAGCCGGCGCGGCCUGGUGUGUAUGGUGUGCGGGGGCGCGCUGGCCACGCUCAAGGUGAGCACCAUCAAGCGCCACAUCCUGCAGGUGCACCCCUUCUCCAUGGACUUCACGCCUGAGGAGCGCCAGACUAUCCUGGAGGCCUACGAGGAGGCGGCGCUGCGCUGCUACGGCCACGAGGGCUUCGGGCCGCCCGCCCCGGCGCCGCGUGACGGCGGCGCGGACCUCAAGUCUGGCGCUGUGUGUCGGGCGUAGCGGCCUAGCGGGCCCCCGGGUCAGGUCGGGUCGGGUCGGAUCGGCCCCGCCCCGCCCUGUGCUCGCCCGGCCCUUCGGCUGGGAGACCCUCGCGUCCGGUGUUAGCGCUUCCCGCGGCCGCGCCCCCCGCUGGCCGGGCCGGGCGGAGACGGGGGAUCGGGUGGGGCCACCGGCGUCUGCGCGGUGCCACUUGGGUCCCUGAGCCAGUCGGUGCGCUGCGGGAAGCGCACUCUCCCAUCGGCCCGGAGCCCUGCCCUCCCCGCGCAGGGCCCACGUUUUCCGAGAAUCCUCAGUGGCCUCCACGUGUUAGCGCCGAGCGCUCCCGGCCGCACCCCGCGAGGGGGUUCUCCGCAGGCCGGGACUGGGGGCGCCGUCAGUCAGUAUUAGGGCCGAAGGGGGGCCGUGCGGGCUCUGGCUCUGGCCCUGGCUGGGGGCCCAGUUCCCUGCAGCCUUGCACGCUGGCAGGCACGGCUCCCGGCUUGGGGGCUGCUGGCUGCCCUUCCCUAAUUGGGAUUCUCGGCCUCUCGGAGGCCCCGGCUGCGGACUGGGGCUUCCAGCGGGAGGCUGGGCCGCAGGGCUCGGGAGCCUUCCCGGGGUGGGAAGGCGCGUUGGACCGAGGGCGGGGCUACGCGCCCGGGGCCCGGGCUGGACCAGCUGCGCUUACCUCCCCGGCAGGCUCAGUGAGAACCGUGCGCCCGGCGGCCCCACUCUCCUCCCAGGCCGCUGCCACGCCCUCCAGGAAAGCUCUUGUAAAGGGAUUAGCACUUUUUUCCUUUGCUCCUCUUGCCCCGAGGGUCUCUGCUUACCCCUAAACCAAGUCCGUGGGAGCCCGGGGCACAGGCGGUCCCGGCAGUCAGCCUUCGAUUCCCGCCCCAUCCCCAUCCCCCUUUGUCCGCGGUGGAUGCGGCGUCCGUUCUCAACCCGCAGGGCCUGGGGCCGGGCCUCGGCCUCUUUUCCCCGUGGCAGCCGCAGGCCCUGUGUGGCAGGGAUGGGGCCCCGCGAUCUCCCAGGCAGGUCCGAGAGGGAUGUGUAGAUUCAUUCUCCUGUGGAGAACAGGUGGCCCCGAGAUCAGGCCCUUUUUUGCUCUUUGUAUUUUAUUUUGAAACUGUAUUUAAUGCUUUUAUAUGAAAGGGGGAGGGGCGGGGACAGAGCUGACCCAGUCACCCUUAUGUGCAAAUGUCUUAUUUAUUAUGCGUGUAUCAGAGAUAAGCUGUGAGGUGGUGGAGGGAGGACCUGAAGGAAGGAGGAGCGAGGGCAGAGGCGGGGACGGGAGGACCCCAACUAGCUGUGCUGAUGUUAAUCCCGCUGGGAGACUCCGGGCCCUACUGUCUGCUCUUCACAAAGCCAGGCUGCUGCAGGAACAGUUCCCGCGGUCCUAAAGCCGGGGCGGGGAGGCUAGUGGGUGGAACUUGAGGGUUGGGUCUGGAGGAAGAGAUGCCUGGGCAGCGUGGUCCAGCCCCUGCCUCGGGGUGGAAAGGCAGAGAGCAAAGAGGAGGCCCCUCUUAUUCCGGACCCCCAGGCCAGAGCCCAGGAGUGGGAAAGCAGAGGGCAAAGAGGAGGCCCCUCCUCUCAUCCCUGACCCCCAGGCCAGAGCCUAAGGUUCAAGUGCCUCAGGCCCAGUCCCCUUGACGCUUCCUGUUUGGGAGUUGGAUUUUAUACCACGGAUUUUAUAGCAUUUUUAUAUAAUUGAGGAUUGUCAGAAUUGGAAAGGGCCCUGGAGAUCACUAGUACUACCCUCCUCACCUUCACAGAUAGGUAAAUUGGAGCCCAGGAACCGAGAUGAUCACACAGCCAGGUAGGGACAGUACAAGAACUAGAAUGAAAAUCCUAGCUCCUGACUCAGUGUUCUUUGCACGAUGCCACACUGCUUCCCAAUUCGCUGGUCAGUUAUUAAAAUUUGUCAGGCCUGCCGAAGGAUUGACAUGCUGGGCAAUGCAGGCCACCACGGUGGAUCUGUGACUCCUGAAGGUGGCAAAGCCCUGCACACUGCCUUGGGAUGAGCACACUGAGCUCUGCAGGGCCUCAGCUGGAAGGCGCCAUCCAAUCGUCCUUCCCCUCCCCAGCAGAACUCCAGAGGUGGGGCGGCUGCCGCAGGGCCCAAGGCUGCCUCGGCAGGGGGCUUUGUGCUUUUUGUUGUGGAGGCCACCAGGGAUUCAGGAAGAUCCUGAAUGGGUUGUCAAUUGACUGAAAAGUAAAUUCCCAGUGAGUUUGAACCUCCACGGUUUUUGAGACAGUAUUAAAAGCUUGAGAACGGAGAUUAUGGAUGGCACCAGGCUGGGCACUGCCAUUCUUUUACUUUCCUUCAUGCAUUUUUUCGGAUCCAGAGUAUUAACACCACUUUUUUUACUCUGCCCAUUCAAAAACAGUAGGCAAAUUGGGGGAACCAAUUUAUAAUCACUCAAGCCCACUGCCAAAGUUCGGAUAAGCCAGGGCAGAGGGGUUAGAUUCCCCCCCCUCCGUAGGCAGAGAGAGGCCUCAGGAGAGUGGACAUCUUUACUGAGACAGCCCCAAACACACCAGUGGCUCUCAAAGUGUGUCCCUGAGACCAGCAGCAUCACCUUAGGAAUCUGCUAGAAAUAAAAAUUCUUGGGCCAUACCCCAGGGUUACUGAAUCAGAAACUUGGUUGGGGCCUAGCAGUGUUUUCAUGAGCCCUCCAUUGAUCUUGAUGCAGCUGAAGUGCCGGGCACCAGUGAAAGGGAAGGGCUGCGGUAGUGAUUCCAUUGAUUCCUGCUUUGAUGGAAGUUAUGGCCUCACAGGUUAGACGUUGCAAGUUGAGUUGGCCCUCUUGCCUAGGUGUGCCUCCUUGCCUUGGGAUUCUGACAUGAACAGGUGAAGUCUCUUCAUGAUUUUUUUUGUUGUUGUUGUUAAUGGUAUGCUUGCUAUUAUGGCCAAUAUGUAAAUGUUACUCUGAAUACAUAUUUAUAUACCAUGUUACUUAGUGACAUUAUUCAAACAUUUGUAUGCGUAUUUGUGAAAUUGUUUGCAUCAGUCAUUUAAAAAAUAUUUCAGCCUAAGUUUUCUAAGAGGUAUGUUGAAUACAUUUUUAAAAGCCAGCUUAAGGGUCACAGCAGCCUUAGUUUAGGAGAAGAGCUAAUCACAGGUGACCACUCAAGUUCUUUCAAUGAAGACCUGAUGAUGUAUUUAGUUCCCAUUUUCCACGGUGAUUGACUCAAUUUAAGUGUAUUGUGGCUAUAUGUAAUUUACAGGCUGCUUUGCGUUGCAGGUGGGAAAAUCUCCCAGGCUGGUGUGAGGCUGAACUGGGGUAAAAGACCCCCUGACCCCUCCUCAUUCUUCUAAGGUCACCACCUCUUAGAGGGUCUCUUAUUUUCUUUCAGAGAUCAAAUGCACAGUUAUGCUGUACAACUAAAUUCUGCAGUCUUGGGAAUCCUUACGAGUACCAACUAUUAGUCACUUUUUAAAGUCCCCAAAGUGGAGUGAGGAUAGGGGGAGUGGAAGCAGUGUUUGGUUCUUACUUUACCCAAACUGUGUAUAAAGAAUAAAGUUAGCAGAAUGAUGCCACAGUCA
rnacentral:lncRNA from 1 species